rnacentral:tRNA from 1 species
GCCGAGGUGGUGGAAUUGGUAGACACGCUGGGUUCAGGGUCCAGUGGAUAUUGCUUCCAUAGGAGUUCAAAUCUCCUCCUCGGCACCA